rnacentral:rRNA from 1 species
UGGGGAAUCUUGCGCAAUGCGCGAAAGCGUGACGCAGCAACGCCGCGUGCGGGAAGACGGCCUUCGGGUUGUAAACCGCUUUCAGUUGGGACGAAGCUUCGUCGGUGAAUAGCCGACCGAAGUGACGGUACCUUCACAAGAAGCCCCGGCUAACUACGUGCCAGCAGCCGCGGUAAUACGUAGGGGGCAAGCGUUGUCCGGAAUCAUUGGGCGUAAAGAGCGUGUAGGCGGCCCGAUAAGUCCGCUGUGAAAGUCCAGGGCUCAACCCUGGGAUGCCGGUGGAUACUGUCGGGCUCGAGUCCGGAAGAGGAGUGUGGAAUUCCUGGUGUAGCGGUGAAAUGCGCAGAUAUCAGGAGGAACACCAAUGGCGAAGGCAGCACUCUGGGACGUGACUGACGCUGAGACGCGAAAGCGUGGGGAGCAAACA